rnacentral:rRNA from 1 species
GACGAACGCUGGCGGCGUGCUUAACACAUGCAAGUCGAACGGAAAGGCCCUGCUUGCCGGGUACUCGAGUGGCGAACGGGUGAGUAACACGUGGGUGAUCUGCCCUGCACUUCGGGAUAAGCCUGGGAAACUGGGUCUAAUACCGGAUAGGAGCCAUUUUUAGUGUGAUGGUUGGAAAGUUUUUUCGGUGUAGGAUGAGCUCGCGGCCUAUCAGCUUGUUGGUGGGGUAAUGGCCUACCAAGGCGGCGACGGGUAGCCGGCCUGAGAGGGUGGACGGCCACAUUGGGACUGAGAGACGGCCCAGACUCCUACGGGAGGCAGCAGUGGGGAAUAUUGCACAAUGGGCGCAAGCCUGAUGCAGCGACGCCGCGGGGGGGAUGACGGCCUUCGGGUUGGAAACUCCUUUCGCUAGGGACGAAGCUUUUUGUGACGGUACCUAGAUAAGAAGCACCGGCUAACUACGUG